GACGAACGCUGGCGGCGUGCCUAAUACAUGCAAGUAGAACGCUGAAGGAGGAGCUUGCUUCUCUGGAUGAGUUGCGAACGGGUGAGUAACGCGUAGGUAACCUGCCUGGUAGCGGGGGAUAACUAUUGGAAACGAUAGCUAAUACCGCAUAAGAGUAGAUGUUGCAUGACAUUUGCUUAAAAGGUGCAAUUGCAUCACUACCAGAUGGACCUGCGUUGUAUUAGCUAGUUGGUGGGGUAACGGCUCACCAAGGCGACGAUACAUAGCCGACCUGAGAGGGUGAUCGGCCACACUGGGACUGAGACACGGCCCAGACUCCUACGGGAGGCAGCAGUAGGGAAUCUUCGGCAAUGGACGGAAGUCUGACCGAGCAACGCCGCGUGAGUGAAGAAGGUUUUCGGAUCGUAAAGCUCUGUUGUAAGAGAAGAGCGAGUGUGAGAGUGGAAAGUUCACACUGUGACGGUAUCUUACCAGAAAGGGACGGCUAACUACGUGCCAGCAGCCGCGGUAAUACGUAGGUCCCGAGCGUUGUCCGGAUUUAUUGGGCGUAAAGCGAGCGCAGGCGGUUAGAUAAGUCUGAAGUUAAAGGCUGUGGCUUAACCAUAGUACGCUUUGGAAACUGUUUAACUUGAGUGCAAGAGGGGAGAGUGGAAUUCCAUGUGUAGCGGUGAAUGCGUAGAUAUAUGGGAGGAACACCGGUGGCGAAAGCGGCUCUCUGGCUUUGUAACUGACGCUGAGGCUCGAAAGCGUGGUGGAG
rnacentral:rRNA from 1 species